rnacentral:rRNA from 1 species
UACAGAGGGGGCAAGCGUUAUUCGGAAUUAUUGGGCGUAAAGGGCGCGUAGGCGGCUUGGCAAGUGGAUGGUGAAAUCCCUCGGCUUAACCGAGGAACUGCCGUCCAAACUGCUUCGCUUGAGACCGGGAGAGGUGAGUGGAAUUCCCAGUGUAGCGGUGAAAUGCGUAGAUAUUGGGAGGAACACCAGUGGCGAAGGCGGUUCACUGGACCGGUACUGACGCUGAUGCGCGAAAGCGUGGGGAGCAAACGGG